rnacentral:rRNA from 1 species
GAUCAUGGCUCAGGAUGAACGCUGGCGGCGUGCCUAAUACAUGCAAGUCGAACGCGCAGCGAGAGGUGCUUGCACCUUUCAAGCGAGUGGCGAACGGGUGAGUAACACGUGGAUAACCUGCCUCAAGGCUGGGGAUAACAUUUGGAAACAGAUGCUAAUACCGAAUAAAACUUAGUAUCGCAUGAUAUCAAGUUAAAAGGCGCUACGGCGUCACCUAGAGAUGGACUCCGG